UUGCUUACAUAGAUUAGAGUAGGUAAUACUCAUUAUCUCAUUGUGUAUAUAUAUGAAUCACAUACAUAAUAAAUGUACAAGUUAAUUCACAAAUUUCAUCAUUGAACUUUCUCUCUCUUCCUCAAUUGAUUCAUGUUAAACUCACUCAUGAAGUUUUGAAUCAUUUCAUGUUAUUAGAAGAACAGAAUGAUAGUUUCAACGUUCUGAUCAAAAUUUGGGAAAUCUUGAAGCUAUCUAAAUUUCGCUCAAGAUAGUAGUUGGUGAAAAUUCACAAAUUGGUAAAUUUUGUGUCAUAAACAUUUAAAAUUUCAAAAAAUCUCAAUGGAAAAAAAUGGAAAUACAUCUGGGUGGUCGAUGUUAAUGAUGUGAUCAGUAGAGUUCCAAAUUCAAUCAGUUCGACUCCAUCUCAGUCUGAGAACAACACGGGCAAUCAACCAGUUGAGGGAACAACUCAAACUAUUGAUCAAAGUCCCCCUCUCUUCUUGAAUACCUAUGAUAUUCUAUUCAUAGUACAAGUGGAUCUCGGGAUGCUACUGGCUAUUGAGGAGACAAUCUUUACGAUUCGGGGAUUAUGGUGGUUGUGACUAUUUCAGGUUUAUUGAUCCACAACCCAACAAAACACCAAAAAAAAAAAAUCUCAAAUGAGCUCAGGACCUAGCAAGAGCCCAGGUGGACCUGAUACACCAACAUCAAAAGGCUUAACAAAAUCUGAACUACAAAAUAGGCUCAGAGAAUCUUUAGAGAACGAGGAAUUACUUCAGUCGUUGUUUAGAGAAUCUGAAGAAAAUAAGAAUCACUUAAAAUUUAGGUUGGGAGAAGCUGAAAUUGAGAGGGCUGAAGUAAAACAGAGGUUGAUGAUGACUGAAGAGGAACAUAAUAGACUAACGAUGCUUUUGUAUGGUUUAUUAGUGGUGUUUGCUAUAUGACAAUAUGUAAUAAGGUUGUAGUGAGGCUGGUAUUUCAUUUUAGCGUAUGAAGAAUUUUGGACAAUAUGAAGCAGGUUUUAUUUAUAUGAAAAAUAUGUGUUUGUCCUUAAGCGUUAUAACAUCUCUAUUGACAUUGUGUAUAAGCUUUAUUCAUAGU